rnacentral:lncRNA from 1 species
GGAAAGUAAUCCUUCGGUAUUUGGCCCAGUGGAACUUACACUCUGCUUCCCUACUCCUGAGCUCAUGACAGAUUCUGAUAUAUUGAUAAUGGUAUUCUUUCCAGUGAGAAGUUGCAACCUUAGAAUGCAUCUCCCUGCCAAUGACUGGAGGAACCAAAAAGAUAAAACCACAUACGGCAUUCCCUGGUCUUCACCAUCAAACCUAUACUUUGGUAAAGGAAAUACCCGCUUACUGUUCAUUUCUAAGGACUCAGUUUCCUUAGGAGCUAGAAGCCUGGAGUACAAAAAAUCAAGCCUUUGUCUCAUCCCUGCCUAUUGCCAUUAUAUUCAAUGUGUCUUCAGAUAUAGAAGACUUUUUUCCCAAGGAAGAUCUGAAGGCAAGGAAGUCUUUCACAAGCCUGAACCAUGA